UACGUAGGUGACAAGCGUUGUCCGGAUUUACUGGGCGUAAAGAGCGCGCAGGCGGUCGUUCAAGUCGAGUGUGAAAGCCCCCGGCUCAACUGGGGAGGGUCACUCGAUACUGAUCGACUCGAAGGCAGGAGAGGGAAGUGGAAUUCCCGGUGUAGUGGUGAAAUGCGCAGAUAUCAGGAGGAACACCGAUUGCGAAGGCAGCUCGCUGGGACGUCACUGACGCUGAGACGCGAAAGCGUGGGGAGCAAACAGG
rnacentral:rRNA from 1 species